rnacentral:rRNA from 1 species
GGUGAGUAAUGUAUCGGAACGUACCCAGUAGCGGGGGAUAACUACGCGAAAGCGUGGCUAAUCCGCAUACGCCCUUUGGGGGAAAGCGGGGGACCUUCGGGCCUCGCACUAUUGGAGCGGCCGAUAUCGGAUUAGCUAGUUGGUGAGGUAAAGGCUCACCAAGGCGACGAUCCGUAGCUGGUUUGAGAGGACGACCAGCCACACUGGGACUGAGACACGGCCCAGACUCCUACGGGAGGCAGCAGUGGGGAAUUUUGGACAAUGGGGGCAACCCUGAUCCAGCCAUCCCGCGUGUGCGAUGAAGGCCUUCGGGUUGUAAAGCACUUUUGGCAGGGAAGAAAAGGUGCCGGUGAAUACCCGGCGCCGCUGACGGUACCUGCAGAAUAAGCACCGGCUAACUACGUGCCAGCAGCCGCGGUAAUACGUAGGGUGCAAGCGUUAAUCGGAAUUACUGGGCGUAAAGCGUGCGCAGGCGGCUCGGAAAGAAAGAUGUGAAAUCCCAGGGCUUAACCUUGGAAUGGCAUUUUUAACUCCCGAGCUAGAGUAUGUCAGAGGGGGGUAGAAUUCCACGUGUAGCAGUGAAAUGCGUAGAGAUGUGGAGGAAUACCGAUGGCGAAGGCAGCCCCC